rnacentral:rRNA from 1 species
UACGAAGGGGGCUAGCGUUGCUCGGAAUCACUGGGCGUAAAGGGUGCGUCGGCGGGUCUUUAAGUCAGGGGUGAAAUCCUGGAGCUCAACUCCGGAACUGCCUUUGAUACUGAGGAUCUUGAGUUCGGGAGAGGUGAGUGGAACUGCGAGUGUAGAGGUGAAAUUCGUAGAUAUUCGCAAGAACACCAGUGGCGAAGGCGGCUCACUGGCCCGAUACUGACGCUGAGGCACGAAAGCGUGGGGAGCAAACAGG